GAUGAACGCUAGCGGGAGGCCUAACACAUGCAAGCCGAGCGGUAGAGUUUCUUCGGAAACUUGAGAGCGGCGCACGGGUGCGUAACACGUGUGCAACCUACCUUUAUCUGGGGGAUAGCCUUUCGAAAGGAAGAUUAAUACCCCAUAAUAUAAUGAUUGGCAUCAAUUAUUAUUGAAAACUCCGGUGGAUAGAGAUGGGCACGCGCAAGAUUAGAUAGUUGGUGAGGUAACGGCUCACCUAGUCAAUGAUCUUUAGGGGUCCUGAGAGGGAGAUCCCCCACACUGGUACUGAGACACGGACCAGACUCCUACGGGAGGCAGCAGUGAGGAAUAUUGAACAAUGGGUGAGAGCCUGAUCCAGCCAUCCCGCGUGAAGGAUGACGGUCCUAUGGAUUGUAAACUUCUUUUGUACAGGGAUAAACCUACCCUCGUGAGGGUAGCUGAAGGUACUGUACGAAUAAGCACCGGCUAACUCCGUG
rnacentral:rRNA from 1 species